AUCCUGCCAGAGGUUACUGCUAUCGGUGUUCGCCUAAGCCAUGCGAGUCAUAUGUUCUUCGUGAACAUGGCGUACUGCUCAGUAACACGUGGAUAACCUGCCCUUGGGACCGGCAUAACCCCGGGAAACUGGGGAUAAUUCCGGAUACUGCAUAUAUGCUGGAAUGCUUUAUGCAUAAAAUGGAUUCGUCUGCCCAAGGAUGGGUCUGCGGCCUAUCAGGUAGUAGUGGGUGUAAUGUACCUACUAGCCAACGACGGGUACGGGUUGUGAGAGCAAGAGCCCGGAGAUGGAUUCUGAGACAUGAAUCCAGGCCCUACGGGGCGCAGCAGGCGCGAAAACUUUACAAUGCGGGAAACCGUGAUAAGGGGACACCGAGUGCCAGCAACAUUUGUUGGCUGUCCAGGUGUGUAAACUACACCUGUUAGCAAGGGCCGGGCAAGACCGGUGCCAGCCGCCGCGGUAACACCGGCGGCCCGAGUGGUGAUCGUGAUUAUUGGGUCUAAAGGGUCCGUAGCCGGUUUGGUCAGUCCUCCGGGAAAUCUGACGGCUUAACCGUUAGGCUUUCGGGGGAUACUGCCAGGCUUGGAAUCGGGAGAGGUAAGAGGUACUACAGGGGUAGGAGUGAAAUCUUGUAAUCCCUGUGGGACCACCUGUGGCGAAGGCGUCUUACCAGAACGGGUUCGACGGUGAGGGACGAAAGCUGGGGGCACGAACCGGAUUAGAUACCCGGGUAGUCCCAGCCGUAAACGAUGCUCGCUAGGUGUCAGGCAUGGCGCGACCGUGUCUGGUGCCGCAGGGAAGCCGUGAAGCGAGCCACCUGGGGAAGUACGGCCGCAAGGCUGAAACUUAAAGGAAUUGGCGGGGGAGCACAACAACGGGUGGAGCCUGCGGUUUAAUUGGAUUCAACGCCGGG
rnacentral:rRNA from 1 species